rnacentral:rRNA from 1 species
UACGUAGGGGGCGAGCGUUGUCCGGAUUUAUUUGGCGUAAAGAGCGUGUAGGCGGCCAGGUAGGUCUGCUGUGAAAACCCGAGGCUCAACCUCGAGACGCCGAUGGAAACCAUGUGGCUAGAGUCCGGAAGAGGAGAGUGGAAUUCCUGGUGUAGCGGUGAAAUGCGCAGAUAUCAGGAAGAACACCCGUGGCUAAGGCGGCUCUCUAGUACGGUACUGACGCUGAGACGCGAAAGCGUGGGGAGCGAACAGG